rnacentral:rRNA from 1 species
AGCUCCAGUAGCGUAUAUUAAAGUUGUUGCAGUUAAAAAGCUCGUAGUUGGAUUUCUGGCGUGGUGCGCCCGGCCCGCCGCCGCUAAGGCGGCGAGUGCCGGCGCGCGCCUGCCAUCCUUCUGGAGAGUGUGCCUGCCCUUCACUGGGUUGGGCACGCGAUCUAGAUCGUUUACUUUGAAAAAAUUAGAGUGUUUAAAGCAGGCUUACGCUUCUGAAUACAUUAGCAUGGAAUAAUAAGAUAGGACUUUGGUUCUAUUUUGUUGGUUUCUAGAACUAAAGUAAUGAUUGAUAGGGACAGUUGGGGGUGCUAGUAUUUAACGGCCAGAGGUGAAAUUCUUGGAUUCGUUAAAGACUAACUAAUGCGAAAGCAUUCACCAAGGAUGUCUUCUUUAAUCAAGA